rnacentral:rRNA from 1 species
GACAGAGGGGGCAAGCGUUGCUCGGAAUCACUGGGCGUAAAGGGUGCGUAGGUGGCUGGGAAAGUUUGAUGUGAAAGCUCAGGGCUUAACCCUGAAAUGGCAUUGAAUACUGCCUGGCUGGAGGUUUGGAGGGGGGACUGGAAUUCUUGGUGUAGCAGUGAAAUGCGUAGAUAUCAAGAGGAACACCAGUGGCGAAGGCGAGUCCCUGGACAACACCUGACACUGAGGCACGAAAGCCGGGGGAGCAAACAGG